rnacentral:rRNA from 1 species
UAACAGGGAAGAGCUUGCUUUUCCGCUGACGACCGGCGCACGGGUGCGUAACACGUAUGCAACCUACCUCUUACUGAAGGAUAGCCCAGAGAAAUUUGGAUUAAUACUUCAUAACACCACAAGAUCGCAUGAUCUCAUGGUUAAAGGUUACGGUAAGAGAUGGGCAUGCGUCCUAUUAGUUUGUUGGUGAGGUAAUGGCUCACCCAAGACUACGAUAGGUAGGGGGUCUGAGAGGAUUAUCCCCCACACUGGUACUGAGACACGACCGGACUCC